rnacentral:lncRNA from 1 species
UGGGUUUUGCCAGUGUUUCAUUCAUAAUUUGUAAAAUCUCUCUCUUUGCAGCUGUAGCUUGCUGAAUAGCUUCCAUGAUAAUUUUUAUUGGUAUUCCAGGUAGUUUUAGAUCAACCUGCAAGGCAGUUACUCCUUUACUAGUACCUGCCAUCUUGAAAUCCAUAUCACCAUAAUAGUCUUCAAUUCCCAAGAUGUCUGUCAACAAACGGUAGUCCUCAAUAUCUCUUCCUUCCGGAUCAUACUUGGUAACGAGACCUACUGCUACACCUGCCACUGCACUUGAUACAGGAACUCCUGCAUCCAUUAAUGCCAGACUUCCACCACAUGCAGAAGCCAUUGAUGAGGAGCCAUUUGACUCUAGGACUUCAGAAGUAACUCGUAUUGUGAAUGGGAAGUCCUGGGGAAUAACUGGUUUCAGUGCUCUCUCUGCCAGUGCACCGUGUCCAAGCUCUCUUCUAUUCACACCAGUAACUUUGCCAAUCUCAUUAGUUGCAUAAGGAGGAAACUGUAGAGAAGAAAGAAAUUCCAAAAUGUACGUACAGAGAACUACAAUUUUUUCCACUUCAAAACACAUACUUUGAAGUUCUGGUGCAUCUCAAGGUGAAAACAAAACAGAAACAAACAAAACAAAAAUCUAAC